UGUGGCCACAAGAAUGUCAAUAAUGAACAAAUUAUGAUUAUGCAAUUCAUAAGUACUUUAAGAACACAAUAUCAUACUCGAUAGGAGUAUUGAUAUUAUACGUAGUACUUACUAUUUAUGACCGUUUAGAAUGUGUAGUGUUGGUAAAGGAUAAGCACAAUAUAUUUGCAUGCUAAGAGAUAAUUGUGCAUUUUCCAACAAAUUGACUUAAGCAUCUA
rnacentral:lncRNA from 1 species